GCCGGCGUAGCUCAACAGGUAGAGCGGCUCCCUUGUAAGGAGACGGCCCGAGAGGGAAUUGCGGGUUCGAGUCCCGCCGCCGGCU
rnacentral:tRNA from 1 species